rnacentral:rRNA from 1 species
AACGAACGCUGGCGGCAGGCUUAACACAUGCAAGUCGAACGGGUGUAGCAAUACAUCAGUGGCAGACGGGUGAGUAACACGUGGGAACCUUCCUAGGGGUACGGAACAACUCAGGGAAACUCGAGCUAAUACCGUAUACGUCCGUGAGGAGAAAGAUUUAUCGCCCUUAGACGGGCCCGCGUCGGAUUAGGUAGUUGGUGGGGUAACGGCCUACCAAGCCUACGAUCCGUAGCUGAUCUGAGAGGAUGAUCAGCCACACUGGGACUGAGACACGGCCCAGACUCUUACGGGAGGCAGCAGUGGGGAAUCUUGGACAAUGGGCGAAAGCCUGAUCCAGCCAUGCCGCGUGAGUGAAGAAGGCCUUAGGGUUGUAAAGCUCUUUUGCCAGGGACGAUAAUGACGGUACCUGGAGAAUAAGCCCCGGCAAACUUCGUGCCAGCCGCCGCGGUAAUAC